rnacentral:rRNA from 1 species
UACAGAGGGGGCAAGCGUUGUUCGGAAUUACUGGGCGUAAAGGGCGCGUAGGCGGCCUGUUAAGUCGAACGUGAAAUCCCUGGGCUCAACCCAGGAACUGCGUCCGAUACUGGCAGGCUUGAAUCCGGGAGAGGGAUGCGGAAUUCCAGGUGUAGCGGUGAAAUGCGUAGAUAUCUGGAGGAACACCGGUGGCGAAGGCGGCAUCCUGGACCGGCAUUGACGCUGAGGCGCGAAAGCCAGGGGAGCAAACAGG